rnacentral:rRNA from 1 species
AUACGGAGGGGGCUAGCGUUGUUCGGAAUUACUGGGCGUAAAGCGUACGUAGGCGGAUUGUUAAGUUAGAGGUGAAAUCCCGGGGCUCAACCCCGGAACUGCCUUUAAAACUGGCAAUCUAGAGUUAUGGAGAGGUAAGUGGAAUUCCUAGUGUAGAGGUGAAAUUCGUAGAUAUUAGGAGAAACACCAGAGGCGAAGGCGGCUUACUGGACAUAUACUGACGCUGAGGUACGAAAGUGUGGGGAGCGAACGGGAUUAGAAACCCUAGUAGUCC